rnacentral:lncRNA from 1 species
GGAGAUGAGGCUAUUGUACAGGUGUCUCGGGGAGGGAUGAGACGGAGAAUGGUGGUUUUGACAGGAGGCUUACACCGUCGAAAGUAUAAUAAUGUUUGAUAUGUUUGGCGUGGUACAGAAGAGCAAGUCUGCAAAGUUUUUCGGAAAUUAGAAAUGAAAUAAAUAUUGAUUAAAUAUUAAUUAUUAAUUGAUAUUAGGAUUAUUAAUGUUAUUAUUAUUAUCAAUUCUUUUGAUGAUAAUAAUAAUAAUUAAUAAUUUUAAUACUAUUAAUAAUCAAUAAGUGAUUAAUGUAAAUUCCAUUUUUAUAUUCUGAUUAGUAAAUGAAGGUAGUUGUUUGAGUUUGAAUGGUUUGAAUUAUAGAGGUUUGAUAUUGUUAUGAAUACACGAUAUGUGUUCGAUGAUUAGUCAUAUUUAAUUCUACUCAUUGAUUUAGGGAUUAUGCAUCUAGAAUUUAAAUCCAAAUAGUUGGAUUGUGAUUGGAAUUGCAAUUUGUAUUAUUAUUAAAAUAAUACGUGAUUGUGGUAAUUAAAUUUCCGGGCUUUAUUUUAUUAGAAUCUUGUGACGAUGGCUAUAAGUUUCAUUAAAUCCCGGAAAUUAUUAUAAAUUGCUGGAGCUGAUUAAUUUGUGAAUCCCAUGUUUUUUAUAAACUUACAAUUUGUCGAGCACUGUAUAGUAUAUUAUUUGGACAGGAUUGUUGUGUUAUUGAUUUGGGACCUUUCAAACUUUUAAGUGACGUGCUAUCCAAAAUUAUAUUAUUUUAUUAAUUUAGUUUGAUGAGAUUUCGAGCUGUUUUGAGAAGUGAUUGGAUUACAAUUGGACUUGUAAUUCAUAUUUGGAUUGUAUUCAGGGUUAUGCUAUUAAUGUGGUUGAUUGAUUGUAUAUAAUCAGAUAUAAAAUUAUAUACAUGAUUACUAGAUUAUAUUUAUAUUUAUAUAAAUAUUAAAGCAUGUGAAUUAAAUGCUACGUGCUGACGUGAUGACUUGUUUAACUAUCUGAUGCUAUGUGUAUAUAUUAUUUGUAUAUGAUAUAUAUUUAUAUCGUGAAGGGUAGUAAAAUAAUUCCGAUUCUGCGAAUUGACGACACUGUGUUGUUCAGCAACUGAGUAUUAUUUUGCUGUUAUAUAUAGUCUAUCGAGAUGCGUGCAUUCAACGACUUUCAGAAUCAAGCCUAUAUUGUUGAAAGUCAAGUCAGAAAUAGUUGAUAAGGCCAGUUAUGCCGUAUGAUAGUCUAGUAGAAAGUAGUCUUUGCAGAGAAUAGAAAUGUUGAGGGCAGUAUAGAAACCUCGAGUAGAGUGACUGUGUGUCACCAGUUUUCUGUCAGAGGCAAGUAUUCCUGUUCUUCUCUUUUAUUUAAAGAGCAAUUAUUUUAAUUCUCUUUUGAUAAUACAAGUUUUAUAUUUAUGACUUGUACUU